rnacentral:misc_RNA from 1 species
ACCGCCAUUACCACCACCGCUCAACCCUCAAAAACAAAACACCACUUACUCCUUCCCUCCCUGACCCCUGUCUUAAUACUCUCAGUUUUCUGCCUCUGUUACCAUUAUAUGCAAUUCACCACCAUGCCAUUUCUUUCUUUCAUCUUCAUUAUAAUCCUUUCUCUUUUCUCUCUUUCUGUUUCUCAAUUCCCUCCUCCCAGAGG